GGCGGGGGAGACUUGAAACCGCUCCGGCGCUCCGAUUGGUCCUCCCGCAGAAAGGGGGCGUGGCCCCUUCUUACUAUGCGGUGCAAGGACCCAACAACAUUCCAGCCGCCGCGGCCCCGCCCCCCGGGCCCCGCCCCGCCGGCUGGGCCGCCGCCUCCCGGUCCUCUCGGCCACACCCCCUUCCCAACUACUUAAAAGGCCGCUCCAGCGCUCCGCUUUCCCUGUUCGGUGCUGGGGUGUCGGCGUUUCCGGGCUCCGCUCGGGAAAGGCUCAGUGGUUCCGCCCUAGGAAACCUGGGCGAAUGGAGAAGCCAGCCAGCCAGACCUGGGUUCGAGUCAGUUACGGUUAGCAGAAUAGAUAUGUUCAUCUUACAGAAGAAGAAGCAUGGUCUGGAAAGGUUAAUUGAUUCGUCUGAGGUCUCCCCGCUUAUGAAGAAGCAGCCACAGUGGGGUGUGGUGACAUACACCAGUAGUCCCAGCCCUAGGGAAACUGAGGCAGGGGGGACAGGGGUGUCAUGAGUUCAAGUCCUUCCACACACCUUAUUUAGGAAGUGCUUGCCAAUUAAAAGGCCCCCAGAGACUGGGAAUUGUCCGGUUCAUUAUUGGCUCUCUUGUGUAUAACCCUGACAGAACAAGAGGUAUGUUUCCCUCACAUGUGUCCACGCCAAGUGUCAGUCAGUGUUCUUUUGUCCAGGGGUGCAGUGCCUCAGCCAGAAAUGCAUGUGAGAUGACUCGUCCUUGGCAUGUGAAUACAGUCUGAUGUUUUCU